CUGUGUACCAUGGCUGACAGUUCUGUAUGUGCACCUAAUUUAUGGCCAGGGUGUGCAGGGGUUAGCCUGUCUGUGUGUGUGUGUGUGUGUGUGUGUGUGUGUGUGUGAGUGUGUGUGCUACUGGAAGUUGUAUGUGUGUGUUUGUGUGAGAUAAUGGGUAUGUGUUUCAAGGUUUGUUUGUUUUUUUUUAAUCAGAUAAAGCCUAGGACAGGUUUUUGUUAAAGAGUUUGAUGUGAAUUGUGCUUUUUACAGUUUUAAUAAACACACUAUGUAUACAUUUUUGUGGUAUAAGUGAAUAUUUUGUUUUUUUCUGAAAAUACUUUUAUGGUAUUAUUUUAUUUUUUCGCGUAAGGAUUGUUUAGGAGAAAUACGUCUGAUGUAAGAAAAAAGUGUAUCAGAUGGUUAAUAUUGGUUAUAUGUGUGUGUUACUGUGUGGUAGAUUUCGUGUUGUGUAACUACGCUGAUAGAAAAUGCAUAAUGGUUGAAUGUGAACAUAAAUGAGCAGAAUGUUUGUUUGUGAAAUAAUUGAAACAUUUGUUGAUUACGUUUUUGUGGGGUAUGGCGUGACAACAAAAUUAUUUAAUUAAACACCAAAACAGUUAAACCAUAGUUGAUAUGAAAUGGGAAAAAAAAAGAUAUAUUUUAUUAAAUACCUUCUAAACAGAACCCUUUAGGAAGUAAAUGUUUAAGUAUUGUUUAAAAGAAUCGAGCAUUUUGUUUAAACUAGAAGACAAGUUUUUCUUGUAGGCACAGAUACUGAUGGUAAAUACAGAAGCCCCUGUGCCUAUACACACCGCCCUCCACAAGUGUUUCCCCCGGCUGCCAUAUCUGUAGAGCGUAUAAAUUUAUGAACUAUUUGUUUACCACAUGCUGACAGUUUCUGAAGGAAGUGUAAAUUUACGAAGUCAUAUGAUCUGUACACGUGACCAUUCUCGCUGUUGUCUGUCUGUGUAAAAUAGAUUCCAUAUCACACCCUGGGUGUAAGGAGGUUGGGGUUUUGCUUACGAUGUGUUUAUGUUAAUGAGUUUAGUGUGUGUGCGUGGUUCUUGGUGUUACGAAACCCCCACCAAUACAUAUGUCUUCUUGCGACGUAUAAAAGACGGAGUCAGUGACGCUGAAGCUCAAAGUUUGCACUUGUGUACCAGCGUUUGUGCAGUGGAAUAUAAACGAAUCGUUGUUUUCUCAUUUUAGUUUACCUCUAAAGUUUUGUUUCAUUUUGAGGAAUACUUCAAAGAGGAGAUGGCAGUCUAUCUUAACAGUCUCUAACGCUCCAGGUAACACGGACAAUGUUGGACCUUGUUGAUGAAAUACAGUUACUGAACCAGGAUCGAACUCAGGCAGCAUGGCUCCUCAAACCAGGUCAAAUAACCCCUUGCUCAAGGUUUGUCAAGUCUUGUAAACAAGAUCGACGUUUCAGAGCUCAAAAAUCGUAUGGUGAUCAUUAGUGACUGUGAUAUAGCGAUUGAUGGUUAUUUGAGAGACACCGACUUAGUGCAGCCAACAUCUGUGCGGAAGUCAAGACAUUCGGACGGAUUGGCAAACGGCUCAUGGAGAAACGUGUGUCAGUGAAUGUAUGGUGACCACUGGAUACAGUGAGUCUGAGGUUCUACCUUCAAACCAAGAAGCUUGCAGUCGCGAGGCACCUGUUGUUAUAGACAACAGAGUCUUAUUCGACAUGAUACAAAGCGGUUUCAAGACCACUGAGGGCCGUUUUAACACCAUUGAUGGUCGUAUUGAGGCCCUUGAGAAGUGUUUUGCUGUCAUUGAGGAGCGUAUGGACACCUUGUGUUUAUAACCAGUCUUUGACGGAUACGUUACAAUGACACAGCAUCUCGUAUAAACAUAUUAAAGCUACACAGAGACUCCAUGCUGGGGAGAAUCGACACACUGGUUAUGAUCAAAACCUGACGAGGGAACUGUAAAAGCAGUUUGUACACAUUAAAAACAAACUCGGAUUGUGGAUGGGAGCCAGAGAAAUUCAACAUUAUUUACAGCAUUUCCAGUCAACUUUUUGAGCCCUGUUGAACUGCUUCUCUGACAUGGAAAGGCGUGCCACAUAGAACCACCUGCAGUGGUGACAUUCAAUCUGAAAAAAGAUAAUAAUAAACGUAUCAAAUUAUCAAUUAGUUUUUCUUUCUCCCUCUCUCUCUCUCUCUCUCUCUUACUCACUCACUCUCACUACACACAGUUCCCUAUACAGUUUUCUAAAAUGUAGGUUGAGUCAACAAGGCAGUUAUCUGGUGGCCAGCUGACAGACAUAAAAUGCAGAAAACAAAUAAACAUCUUUGAAAUA